rnacentral:lncRNA from 1 species
GGUUGUUUGGUUUAUCAUCUAUCUGGUAUCGCAAGUCAUCAAUUCGACCUCUUCGAUGACCACGAGGAAUAAUUUCUUCACCACGCACCCAGUAAAAAUGAACUGGGCAUCUAUAAUCUAUCAAAAAGAUAUUCAAAAUUUUUUUCAUCUGAUCAUCUAAAUAAAUUUGGUUACUAUUAGAACACUAAAGAGUACUAACUUAGCAAAUGAUAACUUAGGAAUGAUUGAGGUAAGAGUCUGGGUUAUGUGGUAAUUUAACUAUUAUGACUUAAAUAUAACAUUCAAACAUUUAUUGUCUACUUGUGCCAUCAUUACAAUGAACAGUAACCAAAGAGAUUCCUCAUUAGGAGUAAUAAAAGAAAAUAAGAUUAACAAGAAUAUCAUUCACCAUAAAUAAAAAUAGGGCUAUUUUAUGAACAUCCAAUUCAAUUUUCACAAUAACUCCCAAAGGUAUGUAUACUUUUCAUUAUCUCUAUUUUAUAGGAGAAGAACCUGGGUCUUGACAAAGUUAAACAGGUUUUCUAGGCCAUCCAUCAGGAGUAGUCUAAGUCCAUGACGCUUUCCUCAAGACCACUUCUUUCUCAACUGGGGAAGGGAAAAAACAUGCACACAACAAGGCUAGGUUGAGCACACAUCUACAGUCCUAACAUUACUUCAAUAAAUAUUAAGACAUACACUUGGUAGAAGAUAUAAAAUAAUGAAUGCGUCAAAAACAAUAAUUUUUAAAAUUAUUUAUACGUUAAUUACUUUUCAUGUCCGCCCUGAACAGUUACACGGAAGCUGCUGAUUUUUUACUAGGAACUUGGAAUGGGAGUUUGAAGUUUGACCCCCUAAUCUCUUAGCUAUAGGGUGUCAGGCAGACACAUUUAACGUUUCUAUGCCUCAGUUUGUUACGUUUUUGUCUUUUUUUCAUUUACCAAAACAUUGCUACCUAUCGUGAACGGUUAUUGUGAGCAUUAAUAAGUUGGCACAUAUAAAAUUUAGAACCAGGGCCUAGCACAUAAAUACUGAGUAAACGUUAGGUAUCUUAGUUAAUACUUCAUUUAAUCUUCACAAUUCUACAACAAAGAACUACUACCGUAAAACGCGAAAAAUUAAGCAAAAAAGUUACUAAAGAAAAAGAAAAGACAUACUAAAUUUAAAAUUAAGGUAAAAAGAAGUUACUACUCAGCCAUGUGACACAUGGUCACACAGCUUUGUGGUGGAACAGCCAACAGGAAACCUGGCCCGCCCCACUCUCUUAAGUGGCGUUUCUCUUCAUCACCACUGCUCUUCCAUUUGGCUGAACACUCACAAAGUAGAAUCCAGGACUGGAAUCCUGGAGAGCUCAGGCUUUCAGAGUUGAAGAGCUGGUAGGUGUUAGCGCAGCCACACACACCUAGUCUCUAGAUUCCUAACGCAGUGACUGUUACAAAACCAGGCCACCCCAGAUAGGAACGAAAGGACUAGGAAAACAUGAACGAAGCAGAGAGAAAGAAAUGACGAGGGGUAAAUCUGCGGCAGAGUAACCCAGUACAAUCCCCAUCUCUCCCUUCCGCCCUGGGGCGGAAUCCAAGGCUCACCGAGGGCGGCAGCGGCCAGGGCCGGGUUGUGUGGGCUGAGGAGGCCCACGAGGGUUGACACCAGCUGAUCCAGGAAGGGCAAAGAUAUGACCUCGCUCUCCUCGUAACGGUGCACGCGCCGCCUGCGCCGCAGGUAGAAGUGCUCCUGCAGCAGGCAGUCGCAGGCGACCGCACGCAGCGCCGCGAGGUCCAGCGCAGGUUCAGGUUCGGGUUCGGGCUCGGGCUCGGGCUCCGCUGGGGGCGGCGGCAGACCCGACAGGAACACGGUCUUGGUGAAGUACUGGUACCAGCGGUCGGCAUUCAGCGCGAAGGUCUGCGGGUAAACCAUGUACUUCAUAAACUGCAUCUUGGUGAGGAUUCGCAGCUUCUCGUCUACCGACUCCGCAGCGUGCACCGUCGCCUGCCAGCGCUCGAUCCGCCGCAGCCGUGCAGCUUUGCUGUCGGCUGUCAUGGAGGCCACAAUCGGCGGGUACCGCGCGACGGGGGUCGCCGCGACGUCUUGGCAGGUCGUUUCUGUAGCCGUGGCGGCGGCAUUAGCCGCGGUGUGCAAUGAAAGCCUCGGACCGCGUAGCAAAGGCCUCCAACACCUGGCCGCCGCCAUCUUUGCCCGCGAUUCCGGACCCAGAGGUCAACUUAAGCAAUUGUCCUUGCCCUCUUGCUGUAGGGACCAAUCGGAAAGCGGAAUCUGAGCCAGUCUGGGAAAGGACGAUUCUCAGUGGGCGUGGGUUAUGUUGCGUCAUUCAUGGUUUAGCCAAUCAUAUAACUUCUCCAGUCGUGGUUUCCUGCGUUUGUAGAUGGAAGGAAGAACUUGUGUGCUUAGACCUGACGCUGGGAGGAGAUGCUGCCACCUAGGUUACUUGUAGGACCCUAUACGGCAACCUCCUUUGCCAGGAACUAUUUAUAAACAUCCUGCAGGAAAAUGCAGUGAAGUAGAAGAGACAGGGAUAUCCCAGAAGGUUAUGCAAAACAUCAAGAGAAGAUGAGAGGUACUCUGUGAUGUCGUAAGGAUAAGAAAGAUCAAGGGAUCAGGAAAAUGAAGAUUUUAGCUUCAUUCAUCUUAACGAGGUUAACAGACAUGAUUUUCCCACUCUCCUUCAACACUCACAUAUCAAUUUCAUAUUUGUGGAAAGUUUUCACUUACAACACUCAGUAUAUACCACUUAGAAUUAUGAAAGUAUAUCCUGUAGGGCAGAUCCACAUGCAGAAGAAUGAAACUAGACCCCUAUCUCUCACCAUACACAAACAUCAAAUCAGAUGGAUUAAACACUUCAAUCUAAGACCUCUCACUAUGAAAUGACUAUGAGUAAACAUUGUAGAAUAUUCAUCUGGGAAAAAAUUUCUUGCCCCACAAGCACAGGCAACCAAAGUCAAAAUGGACAAAUGGGAUCACAUCAAGUUAAAAAGUUUCUGCACAGCAAAGGAAACUAUCAGUAAAACAUAGAGGCAACUCACAGAACUGGAAAAAAUAUUUGCAAACUCCUCAACCAACAAGGGGUUAGUAACCAGUGUAUAUAUAAGGAGCUCAAACAACUCUACAGGAAAAAAAAUCUAGCAAUCGAUUAAAAAUGGACAAAGGAUUUGAAUAGACAUUUCUCAAAAGAAGAUAUACGAAUGUCAGAAAAGCAUAUAAAAAUUUGCUCAACAUCACUGAUUGUCAGUGAAAUGUAAAUCAAAACUACAAUGAGAUAUCAUCUGACCCCAGUUAAAAUGGCAUUUAUCCAAAAGACAGGCAAUAAUAACAAAUGUUGACAAGGACGUGGAGAAAAGGGAACGCUUGUACACUGUUGGUAGGAAUGUAAGUUAGUACAACCCCUAUGGAGAACAGUUUGGAGUUUCCUCAAAAAACCAAAAAUAGGGCUACUAUCCAAUUCAGCCAUCCUACUGCUGAGUAUACACCCAAAAGAAAGGAAAUCAGCAUAUCGAAGAGAUAUCUGCACUCCCAUGUUUGUUGCAGUAUUGUUCACAAUAGCCAAGAUUUGGAGCAACCUAAGUGUCCACCAACAGAUACAUGGAUAAAGAAAAUGUGGUACAUAUGUACAGUCAUAAAAAAAGAACUAGAUUUGAUUAUUUGCAAUAACAUGGAUGAAACUGGAGGUCAUUAUUUAAGUGAAAUAAACCAGGCACAGAAAGACAAACAUUGUGUGUUCUCACUCAUUCAUAGGAUUUAAAAAUCAAAACAAUUGAACUCACAGAGACAGAGAAUGGAAGGAUGGUUACCAGAGGCUAGGAAGCAUAGUGGGGGAAUGGGAGGAGGUGAGGAUGUUUAAUGAGUACAAAAAAAUAGAAACAAUGAAUAAGACCUAGUAUUUGAUAGCACAACAGGAGGACUAUGGUCAGUAAUAAUUAAAUUGUACAUUUUAAAACAACUAAAAGAAUAUAAUUGGAUUGUCUGUACACAAAAGAUAAAUGCUUCAGGGGAUGGCUAUCCACCAAUUUUCCACAAUGUGAUUAUUAUGCAUUGCAUGCUUUUACCAAAAUAUCUCAUGUACCCCAUAAACAUAUACAUCUAGUAUGUACCUAAAAAAAUUAAAAAUAUAAAAGAGUAUUUGUAUAAUGGAUAAGUACCAUAGAAAUAUUUGGAAGAGCAAGGAGAAAUUGGAUAUUUUUGUAAUGAUGAAAGUAUGUAUUUCUGUACUUUGCCUGUAUAUUUUUUAAGUAAAAACUGACCACAAGAUGUCACUGUUAACAUAUGUAUGGGAGGGAAAGUUGCCUUGAACAGCAGCUAGGUUUUGUGGGGCCGGUGUGGUUAGAAAUCAUUAUUUUAAAAUCCUUGGCAAUAACUAAACCUCAACAUGUUUCAGUUUUUCAAAACCACUGGAAUGUUUUUAGAGUUUGGGAAUU